rnacentral:rRNA from 1 species
AGAGUUUGAUCAUGGCUCAGAACGAACGCUGGCGGCAGGCUUAACACAUGCAAGUCGAACGGUUGUAGCAAUACAGCAGUGGCAGACGGGUGAGUAACACGUGGGAACCUUCCUAGAGGUACGGAACAACGCAGGGAAACUUGCGCUAAUACCGUAUACGCUCUUGCGAGGAAAGAUUUAUCGCCUUUAGACGGGCCCGCGUAGGAUUAGGUAGUUGGUGGGGUAACGGCCUACCAAGCCUACGAUCCUUAGCUGAUCUGAGAGGAUGAUCAGCCACACUGGAACUGAGACACGGUCCAGACUCCUACGGGAGGCAGCAGUGGGGAAUCUUGGACAAUGGGCGCAAGCCUGAUCCAGCCAUGCCGCGUGAGUGAAGAAGGCCUUCGGGUUGUAAAGCUCUUUUGUCAGGGACGAUAAUGACGGUACCUGAAGAAUAAGCCCCGGCAAACUUCGUGCCAGCAGCCGCGGUAAUACGAAGGGGGCUAGCGUUGUUCGGAUUUACUGGGCGUAAAGCGCACGUAGGUGGAUUGUUAAGUGA